GAGGGGCUUGGAGUCCCAGCAGGAACAAAAGAAAACUAAUAUUUGCAAAUCCAUCGGCGCGUUAUCUGCUAGUUUUCAUCUGUCCAUAGUGUUCAAAGUAUUUUUCUUGGCAAGUUGCUGCUUCUCCUUUAAGGAAUGAUGUACGUUUUUCUACCGACUUCUGGCCACGGCCGCACCACUCCCACUCUCUCUUCAUUCCUCCUCCGUUGUGCUCCAACUGUCAAGAAGGCUAUGGCCGGAGUUCACAGCUACCAUCCGUCGCCUCCUCUCCCCGGGCCGCUCCACCGGAGGGGAGAUUUCCGGCGCCUAUCUAGGAUUUCGGCGGGAUCCAAAGAAUCCCCCUCUUCGAUGCCCUCCCUCUCCACUGCCACCAGCGGAGAAGAGGAAGAGAAGUCGGUUGCUUCCGCUCCAAGCCCGACGCUCUCACCGCCGAUGGGCUUCAAGAUUCCGGAUCCGAAGCCCUACUCCGUCCGGCGGGAUAAGAAUCUCGACAUCGUGACGGCUGCUCUUCCCUUGCUCUUCCGCCUGGGCACCGGACUCUUUGUUCUAGGAUAUUCAGCAACUCUUGUGUCAGAUGAUGAUAUCCCAUCAAAUCAAUAUGCUAUGAAGGUUAGAGGUUCAAAGUUGAAAGAGACCUCAAAAUUGGGCCCCCGUCCACAGAAGCCCAUUGAGAUUUAUGAAUUUGAAAGCUGUCCAUAUUGUCGGAAGGUGAGGGAGAUUGUUAGCAUAUUGGACCUUGAUGUCUUGUUUUAUCCUUGCCCAAGAAGCGGUCCAACUUUUCGUCUGAAAGUUUUGCAAAUGGGUGGAAAGCAACAAUUUCCAUACAUGGUGGAUCCAAACACUGGUGUUGCUAUGUACGAAUCUGAUGACAUUAUAAAGUAUCUUGUUGAUAAAUAUGGCGAUGGGACCAUUCCUCUGAUGUUGUCACUUGGUCCAAUUACUACUCUAACUGCAAUGCUCGCACUCAUUUUUCGCUUGGGAAAGGGAUCUUCAUAUACUCCUUCAAAACAACCACCAGUGCCCCUUGAGCUAUGGGCGUUUGAGUUAUCUCCUUUUUGCAAAAUUGUGCGUGAAGUUCUUGUUGAGUUAGAACUACCCCACCUACUUCACAGUAUUGCUCGUGGGAGCCCAAAACGGCAUGAGUUUUAUCAGAAAAUUGGACAUUUUCAGGUCCCUUAUCUAGAAGACCCCAACACUGGGGUGAAAAUGUUUGAAAGCGCAGAAAUUAUUGAGUAUCUGAAAGCAACAUAUGCUCUUUAAGAAGCAGAGCACCCCUGGCUUUUGAGGUUUUUCACUCUUCCAUCUACAAAUUCAUGUGCAAUCCGUAGGUCAUAUGUUACUUCUGUUAUCUUUCUCCACUUUUUGUAAGAUUAUAUGCCUGAUUUAGGUUCAUAUGCGAUAAAUAUAAUAUCCCUUUAUCUUUUUUACUUGAGUGAAUUUUUAAGAAUCUGUAUUUUAGCGAACAACACCUCCUUUAAAGUUUCUCCUUGUCAUGCAUAAAAUUGUGUAACGAGAAGAGUUGCAUGAGAUGUUUGUUUACUACAGAUGUAGAGAAUGUACUUUUUUGUGUAUACAAACCUGCAAUAUGAUAAUUUCCGAUGUGAUUUUGACCUAGGCAUUUAGUUUGUUCAGGCAAGGUUGUAGGAGUAAAGUUGAAAAGGGUUUGAGCUCCAGGAAAUUGAAAGCUACUUAUGAGACACCUCCUGAAAUUUGACUUGAAGAGUUGCUGAUCACCACAACAAAGUCUGGAAUAAGGCUUGGUUUUUUAAAAAAAGGAAAUGGUAGAACAUAUUAGUUCGAGAAGUCAAUAUGAACUUUUUCUUUUUUUGCAAGGGACUGAGUUUCUGCAGGUGUGAUCUUGGAAAAAUAAGUGGUAAAUAAGGAAAAGGUGUUGCAAUAUAUGAAGAUUUGACACGGACGCCAUUCCAGAGCAAAGCAAAUUGAAGAAGGAAUAUGUUGGCAAUUGUGGCUUUCUCCCAUCUCCAUUGGCUACAUCUUGCGAUUCUGAACGACAACAGUUUUGCCUCCUACUAUGAUAUGACAUCAUGGAGGAUCAAACAGUAGUGCUGAUCUUCAUAUUACAAUUUCGAGGAAGGCUAUCUUGAUAGAAAUUUGUGGAUCAUUUUCCCGUUUCGUAUAUUUGUUCCUUGUGCCUAGGUAACAAGAGACCGCACUAGUUUAGGUUUUUCUAUUGUCGGUUAUUGUACCUUUUCCUUGUCUAGGUUUCUUAUCAUGGCAUUACAGCUAGAUCUUCACCCGUUGUGUUUGGAAUCACAACUUUUUAAUGUACAACAAAUAUAUUUCAUUUAUU